rnacentral:misc_RNA from 1 species
UCUCCGUUGGUGAACCAGCGGAGGGAUCAUUACCAAGUGCAAACUCAUAACCCUUUGUGAACCUAUAUCUGUUGCUUCGGCGGCUCGCUCUCGGGCGAGCCCGCCGGUAAUAUCAGUAUCUCUGUUUGAACCCGACGAUACUUCUGAGUGUUCUUAGCGAACAGUUAAAACUUUUAACAACGGAUCUCUUGGCUCUA